rnacentral:rRNA from 1 species
UACGGAGGGUGCAAGCGUUGUCCGGAAUCACUGGGCGUAAAGGGCGCGUAGGCGGCCUGGUAAGUAGGGGGUGAAAUCCUGCGGCUUAACCGCAGGGCUGCCUUCUAAACUGUCAGGCUUGAGCACGGUAGAGGCAGAUGGAAUUCCCGGUGUAGCGGUGGAAUGCGUAGAGAUCGGGAAGAACAUCAGUGGCGAAGGCGGUCUGCUGGGCCGUUGCUGACGCUCAGGCACGAAAGCGUGGGGAGCAAACAGG